GUACCCGUAGCUCAGCUGGAUAGAGCGCAACCCUGCGGAGGUUGAGGUCGGAGGUUCAAAUCCCCCCGGGUACACCA
rnacentral:tRNA from 3 species